UUCCUUUAGAGGGAAUGUCACUCCAUCUAGAAGAGGUUGUCCCUACGCCCUGAUAAAGGGAAUCUUUCGGGUUUUUGGAAAGCAUAAUGGAUUUUAGCUGGAGCUUAUCCAAAAAUUAUCUCAGAAGCAGUUUCAGGUCUUUCAACAUGACAGCAAUGCCCAAGAGUGCGUCAGUAGUUUUCAUUCUUCUCCUUCUGCAAACCGAUCAUAUUUGCCGUGUGAAAUAUUGACAGACUGCAGAUGUGGAACCCAGCCGUGCAAUUUCAAAAGCGCAAUUUUUGCAAGACCAGCUGGAUGGACCUUGAGGACCACUGGUGAUCCACGGACCAAAAUUUGAGAAUUUCUGCUUUAGAACAUAGAUGCCUUUUUGGAGUCCACUGGGUCGCACAUUCUUUGGAAGAAUCCCAGGAACAUGUAGAUAGUUCCCCAGAAAUUGGCCAGUUGUCCACAAAUGGACCACAAUGUAGCUUCUGACCACUGCUGCUUAAGAUCACAGUGUCCCUCAAUGUCAUAGCUCUUUCCCCACAUGAAGUUAGUUCUCUGCCCAUUAAGAAGAGCUGCCUACAUUUUUCGAUGUUGUUGUAACUGGUAUCUGAAGCAGAUAAGUGUUAUUGGACAAGCUGUUUGGAAUAAAGUGCGUUAUCCUUGAUUAAUUUACAGUCGUUCUCUUCUCCCUCAGUUUAUCUUGAUUCCCCUGCUGCUGGUGGCUUGUGUUUGCAAUAUGUUGUGCAAACAGUCCUCCACAUACCAUUUAAUGACUUUUAAAAAACCAGCAGGUCUCUUAAGCAAUUUAGACUUCGGCACAUAUCCUGCAUUGAAGGCGAACCAAAGCAGGACCGUGGGAGCCAUUCAGGUCUGUCCGCUUAACUAUUAUGAAAGCUAGAUUUGUUUUAUUGGCUUUUAACAUGCACAAUACAUAUUGCACAUUGCAGUUUUUGAGUCUGUUAAUCAACUGGGUAAAUAAAACCAUUGUGGUCUUGA